rnacentral:rRNA from 1 species
AUUGAACGCUGGCGGCGUGCUUAACACAUACAAGUCGAUCGGUAACGCGGGGGCAACCCUGGCGACGAGAGGCGGACGGGUGAGGAACGCUUGGGAAUCUGCCCUUCAGCGGGGGACAACCCGGGGAAACCCGGGCUAAUACCGCAUACGCUCCACGGAGGAAAGCCGGGGACCGCAAGGCCUGGCACUGAAGGAUGAGCCCAAGUCGGAUUAGCUAGUUGGCGGGGUAACGGCCCACCAAGGCGACGAUCCGUAGCUGGUCUGAGAGGACGAUCAGCCACACUGGGAGUGAGACACGGCCCAGACUCCUACGGGAGGCAGCAGUGGGGAAUAUUGGACAAUGGGGGAAACCCUGAUCCAGCGACGCCGCGUGGGUGAAGAAGGCCUGCGGGUUGUAAAGCCCUUUCGGUAGGGACGAAAGCUCUCGACCUAACACGUCGGGAGGAUGACUUAACCUACAAAAGAAGCACCGGCUAACUCUGUGCCAGCAGCUGCAGUAAGAC